GAGUUUGAUCAUGGCUCAGAUUGAACGCNGGCGGCAGGCCUAACACAUGCAAGUCGAGCGGAUGACGNGAGCUUGCUCNUGAAUUCAGCGGCGGACGGGUGAGUAAUGCCUAGGAAUCUGCCUGGUAGUGGGGGACAACGUUUCGAAAGGAACGCUAAUACCGCAUACGUCCUACGGGAGAAAGCAGGGGACCUUCGGGCCUUGCGCUAUCAGAUGAGCCUAGGUCGGAUUAGCUAGUUGGUGAGGUAAUGGCUCACCAAGGCGACGAUCCGUAACUGGUCUGAGAGGAUGAUCAGUCACACUGGAACUGAGACACGGUCCAGACUCCUACGGGAGGCAGCAGUGGGGAAUAUUGGACAAUGGGCGAAAGCCUGAUCCAGCCAUGCCGCGUGUGUGAAGAAGGUCUUCGGAUUGUAAAGCACUUUAAGUUGGGAGGAAGGGCAGUAAAUUAAUACUUUGCUGUUUUGACGUUACCGACAGAAUAAGCACCGGCUAACUCUGUGCCAGCAGCCGCGGUAC
rnacentral:rRNA from 1 species